CUAGUGACCCCGGUCUAACCACCGGGAUGUUCAUAACCCUUUGUUGUCCGACUCUGUUGCCUCCGGGGCGACCCUGCCUUCGGGCGGGGGCUCCGGGUGGACACUUCAAACUCUUGCGUAACUUUGCAGUCUGAGUAAACUUAAUUAAUAAAUUA
rnacentral:misc_RNA from 1 species